CGGACCAGCUGACUAAACCCUCAUAAUAUUCACCGUUUAUAUUAUAAAUUAAUAGUUUUGAGUUUUGGUGAAUGUGGUGGCUUGGCUUUUUGCCCCCUGAGAUGUUUUUCUUUGUUUGGGCACUUGGGGAGGGUUUUGAUUCCAGUGAGAUGUAAGAAGCGGAGUUCUAUUUGUUAAGGCUAAACAUUCCGCUAUGUUCUUCUCAGUCAUAAUGAAAGAGGAAAUCAAUUUUAACCACAAAUUAUGUCCACGCUUCCAUUCAUAGAAGCACAUAUGUACAUAAGCAUUUUCAAAUAUAUAUUGUAUUGAUCUAAAUCUAGCACUAUCCAAAUUUGCAAACCUCCUAACCUUCUAUUCCUUCUUCCGAGGUUUCAAUCCAAAAGUUCAUAACCUCAGAGCACAAACUUGACUGCUCAGUUUUUGGUUUUGGAAUCUACAUUGUUUUGUUUAUGUCUUAUAAUGAUAUGUUCUAACUAUUAACUAAUAAUAUGUGUAUGGAAGAAUAGAUUUCCAACCCAUUAUUCAUCUAGUAUUCUAUAUUACCUAGGUUAGGUUACACGUUCUGCCUUUUUCAUCUAUUUUGUUUUAAAAAUCACAAAAAUAUGAAAUCUUUCAUAUACUGUCUAAUAUCUUUCCUAAAUAUACUCCAAAACUACCACCCAAAAUAUCGCAUGGUAUCUAUUGUAUCUCAUUAAUUAAAUUUUGAGAAAAAGUGAAAUAAUAAAAAUUUGUUGUUUGAACCCACCACCCAUAAUAAUUUCAUAAGGCAGUUAACGACCAGGACACAAGAUUCUUGGUAUAUGUCACACGGGUUAAAAUAAUAUAGAGUCAACAGGCUUCGAACAAUAAUAUUAGGCAACAUUCUUCGAACAAUUAAUCAAUCAAAGGACGCAAGAUCUUUUAUGUUGCUUCUCUGUUUCUCCAAGCAAAAGUUUGCCUGAAUUAUAUAACAACCAUGUGUACUCAUCUUACGAUCCACUGUUUCUCUCUCUCCCUCUCUUUGUGCAUCUGAAUUUCCUUGUGAAGAAAUUAUCGGCUCAAAAUCAAGAUAUAUCGUAUAAAAACCUUGACGUAGAUCACAACAAUUACGAUUACGAUUUCAUAACGUAAUAGUUUUUUUUUUUUUUUUGAUAAUCCAGGGUUCCCCGCUUCGCGGGUCAUUCCCUGGGCCCGGUUAGGCAGCGGUCCACUUCACCCGGGAAGGCUUUACCUGGGCUGGGGACAAGGCCCAACACCCAAUACCGCAUUUGAUGACAGGAUGGGCAGUUCCCCUCCGCCUGGGGUCGAACCCGGGAGCAUGACAGUUGGCCCCCAAGGUCCUUACCAAACGAGCUACCACAUCCCGUCAACCAUAUCGUAAUAGUUAUUCUUAAAAUAUCAUAAGAGUGUGUGACUUUGUUUUAAUUGUAAAAUCAAUGUUGGCCUUUCGGUAAGAACAUGUCGGCCUCUCAGUAAGCUAUUGAUCAAAUGAAAAAUGGAUCUUAAAACAUCUACUAGCAACAUUUGCAACCAAAAAUCUGAGAAACUCUUCUUAGCAACGAGUAAUCAGCUUGCAUUGCAAGGUCCAUCUCCAUGUCCUCGGCCCGUGACAGUUGUAAUGAGAAGAAUAAAAGCAGCUCCAAUGAAAAUAUAUUAAAAAGUAUCUAAGACUUAAAAUGUAAUUAAAAUAAAUGAAAAUUUUAAAUUUAAAUCAAAAGCUUAACAACUGUUCCUCUGCACCCAUCUUAUUAGAACCUCAUGAGAACCCUUGGCAAAUGACACAUCUUAUUUUAUAAUUGGCCAAAUUUUUGUCAAUAAAAUAAAAUCACCUCUCUUCAUACUUUAUAUGAUAUUAAAAGCAUUUUUAUAUAUUUUUAUAAAUCUUAAAAUAAAAUUAUCUAUCUAACAAGUUCCAUUAUUCAUAGUUUAAAUUGAAAUUAUUGAAGUUUAAUAUAAUAGUAUAUUAAGUUUUUAAUUAAUGUAAUAGUACUAAAACUAUAAAUUUUAUAUUAAGAUUCCAUAUGUUAAAAUUUUUUUAUAGAUUUAUUUUAGUUUAAGAUAAGUUUAUAUUAGUGACAUACUUAGUGAGUAUCUCACCAAUUGUUUCGUUUUGAUGUACUUUUCUGGCGAAGCGUCCGAACGGACUCUAUAUUCUAAUGAAUCUUCUCUAUUUACAAGUUUCUAGAGGUUAAUAGAUAGCUGGAAACAAAGGGAUAAAAUUUAUGUCUUUUUAAAUGUUUUUGUGUCAAUUUUGAAGUUCUAAAAGGUUUAUAUCUCUUUUGAUUAUUGGUUUGACACAAUGUCGUAUUUGUUUUUUUUUUCUGAUGGAAUCAAUGUGGUGUGUUAACUAAUUUGGUGUUUUAGUUUAACUGCAGAGUUUUUUUCACCAAGUGGUCCUUCUCAGCGUUGCUUGUCAUCCAUAAUGAGUCUCUCUGGUGCUGCUGCAGUUGGUUCUAGUUAGUGUCUUCCUCUCUUGUUUUGCUUAUUGAUUUGGUCUUGAGUGAGUGGGUAAUAAGGAAAAUAACUCCCUGGUGCAACUUUAUUUGCAGGCAGCAAUUUGAGAAGAGCGGUGGAGUUUGGGAAAACUCAUGUGGUUAGGCCCAAAGGGAAGAAUCAAGCUACUAUUGUCUGGCUACAUGGCCUUGGCGACAAUGGCUCUAGGUACUUCUUUUAUUUCUCUAACGUUGGUUUUGUAAUUUUGGAUUAUUAGCUAGCAUAAUAGUUUACAGAACAUGGCUUCCACAUUACGUUUUUCCACUCUAUAUCUCCGGGCCUUUUUUGAAUUGUGUGGGUAUGUCCUAUACACUAAUGUCUUUAAGUAAUGAGUGUAACUUAUUAUACACUGGUUAGUUCAAUAUGACAAUAUCAUUGAUCAAUUUGAAGUUUUUUGAUUGUGCAUAUUGGUAAAGUUUGUUGUAAUAAAAUUGUUUUAUAAUUUUUUUUUUAAGAACCCAUAAUUAAUAGACUUGCAAUAAACCACUUAAUGUUCAAAUCUCUUUCUAAGUCUCUUAAUUCACUUUUACACUUUAAAAACUAUUAAAAAUUAAUUAAGAGACCCUUUAAGAGAUUUUGGGAUAAUGAUGUUCUAACAGAGCAGCAACUUCGCCAGACGAGGAAGAACUCCUCAUUGAUUUAUAAAAAAAAAGUUGUCAUCAUACAAAUCAAUUUAUAUAUAUCCUAUUUAUCCAAUUACCUCAAAAAUGAAGCUAGCAAACAAAAGCAAUUAACAUUAAUACGCAAAUUUAAAUACUACAUUGACAUCAGAAGUUAACAUUAUGAGUUACUUUUUGUGGGUUUAAUAUUAUGAGUUACUUUUUGCAUCCAAAGACUCAAACUUUAAUACUCAAAUGACUAAACGAAAUUUUCUAUAUAGACGAGUUAUAUACUACGGUAUUCAAGAACAUCAACAGCAAGAGAAAAAAAAAACAGUUCUUUAGAAGUCUUAUUACAACAAUGUCUUUUCUUGGUCAUUUUCAAGUUCUUGUUUUUCUUUAUGCUCUUCUUCUUUUCUCAGCAGAAUCCCGUAAAACCCAACUAUUUGAUACUGAAUCUAGCGCUGAUGAUGGUGCAGAACACGAAAACUACGGGGAUAAGGUCGAUGCGCGAGAUAUCCCUCUGUUAUAUCUCGAGACGAAGAUUCAAAACGCUCCUGUGGGGUCACCUCAAAGACAAGAAGCUCAGAAGAAUCUGCUUGAGGAAAUAAAUCACAGGAAACAAAUCGAUCAAAACAUUAUAGAGAUUCUUAGACUUUCACUCAAACAAACCGAUGUCUUAGAUCUCUUAACUUCCACAAGAACAACAGGACAACCUGUUGUAGAUGAUUGGGACUGCUACAAGACUCUGGUAACAACCCCUUAUCAAUUAUUGUUACUUGUGUUCCACUUAAAGACCCUUAAAACAAAUAUAUAUUGAAUAAAACAUCACAGGUUAAAAGUUUCAAGAAUCAAUGUGGAGCAAAGAUGGAAUACGAUAUGAAGUAUGCAGGAGCACUUGCCAAUAUCUGCAAUAUGGGAGUGGAUGUGAAGCAAAGUGUUGCAGCUAUUGAAGAAGCUUGUGCCCAUUAAAUUAUAUGCAAAAAAUAAUAUUGUGAUGGCCUUAUAAAUAUGAAAGUUGUUGCAUAACAUUUAACUGUGUGGAGAUGGUUGAUGCCUAUUUUACUUGAUAACGCGAAAGUCUUGGUCUUAAAUUGGAUUCAUAGUAUAAUAACCUCGUACCAAUUCUAGUUUCAAGAAUUCACGCGAAAGUCUUGGUCUUAAAUUGGAGAGUGAGUAAGUGAUCGGAUAAGGCUCGGCGGCACUCGAGUCAACAUCUCGUAUCCACGUGUUAUGCUUUACGGUUUAAAGUUCUACAACCUUGAACCGGACCAGCUGAUUAAAUCUUCAUAUAUACUGGUGAACUGGACAAACCGCCAGUCCCAAAAUAUCGGUUACGACUUUUGCUGCAGACCGAAUAACCCGAAGGAUAAACCCUGAAUUUUAAAAAUUUUGUUGCCAUAAAUGUUAUGUAACAUUCAUUUUUGCAGAGAAUGUUCAGUCGAAGCUAGAACUUGAUCCGUACUUCCAUUGAGUGUUUUUUUCAUUUUUAAUGGAUUAAAUUAAGAAUGAUUAUGUUAUUUUACUAUUAUAUGGUUUUAUCCACCCAUAUUGUUAUUAAAAAAUUUAGCAAAAUAAAUAAUAAUAUAUCUCAUCGGUCAUUUGAUAAAUUUUGUGAUUGUCAUUUAUCAUUCUACAUAAUUAAAGUAUAAUAUUUUUAUUUUAUAUUUGAAUAAAAAAAAUUAAAUUGUUAUUAUCGUUAAAUAUGAUUAAACUUAUAUAUAUUUUUUUUAUCAAUCAAAGCUAAAUUAAUUUUAGUCUCUAAUUAUAUUUUAUGAUAACUAUAAUUGAAUUAAUUAAUUUUCUACAAUAAAAUUUUCAAAGAUUCUGAAAAUCUUUUUCAAAGAGUUCAGCAGAUUUUUUUUUUUUAAAUAUCAAUUUGCAUUUCAAAUAAAAAAUAAAGAUAUUCUAAUUAAAUUAUGCAAAAUUUGAUAUAGAUUCUAAGAAAUAGUCUAAAUAAAAAAUCAUAGCGUUCCUUGUCGGUAACCUAUCAGAAAACUCGAUGGCUUCAUAAAAGAAAUCUCGCUGGACACUUAUUUCCUGUGCGACUUCACUACCCUUGGCAAAUGACACAUGUCAUUUUAUAAUUGGCCAAAUUUUUUUGUCAAUAAAAUAAAAUCACCUACUCCUUAUACUUUAUAUGAUAUUAUAAAUAUUUUUAUAUAUUUUUAUAAAUCUUAAAAUAAAAUAUCUAUCUAAUUCAUUAUUCAUAGUUUAAAUUGAAAUAAUUGAAAUUUAAUAUAAUAGUAUCUUAAGUUUUUAAUUAUUGUAAUAGUACUAAAACUAUAAAUUUUAUAUUAAGAUUCCAUAUGUUUAAAAGUUUAUAUAAAUUUAUUUUAGUUUAAGAUAAGUUUAUAUUAGUGACAUUCUUAGUGAGUAUCUCACCAAUAAGAUUGCACUAACAGCUCUUACGUUCCACCAAUGCUGACUGAACCAUCCUUCAAGAACACCAUAAUGGUGAGUCACAUCUUCUUCUUCUUUUUUCCAGCCAACACAUCACCUUCAACAACAACCAGAGAAGAGUAAGCUUCAACAAAGUAGCAGCAGAUUAUUUAUUAGACUAGAAGAUGAUUUUAAAUACCAAUGAUGAUCAUGUAGACAAUCAAAACACCAUUGUUGUUAAGAAGAAGAUCUGUUUUGAGGAAAAACCCUUCCAGGGUUGCCAAAAGAGUUACCCAUUAGGCCACCAUAAGAACGACUUUUCCUAAUCUUAGUACACUUAAAGCAAUAUAUCAAUCGAUGCAUCGGUCAAAAAAGCCAUGAAAACUGUGCCACUAAAUGAAGCUCCAUUGAACUCAUCGUAAGCAACUUUGUCUCCUUGAAAUUUAGGCACUAACAGAGCAGCAACUUCGCCAGACGAGGAAGAACUCCUCAUUGAUUUAUAGAAAAAAAGUUGUCAUCAUACAAAUAAAUUUAUAUAUAUCCUAUUUAUCCAAUUAUCUCAAAAAUGAAGCUAGCAAACAAAAGCAAUUAAUAUUAAUACGCAAAUUUAAAUACUACAUUGACAUCAGAAGUUAACAUUAUGAGUUACUUUUUGUGGGUUUAAUAUUAUGAGUUACUUUUUGCAUCCAAAGGCUCAAACUUUAAUACGCAAAUGACUCAAAGAAAUUUUCUAUAUAAACGAGUUAUAUACUACCGUAUUCAAGAACAUCAACAGCAAGAGAGAAAAAAACAGUUCUUUAGAAGUCUUAUUACGACAAUGUCUUUUCUUGGUCAUUUUCAAGUUCUUGUUUUUCUUUAUGCUCUUCUUCUUUUCUUAGCAGAAUCCCGCAAAAUCCAACUAUUUGAUACUGAAUCUAGCGCUGAUGAUGGUGCAGAACACGAAAACUACGGGGAUAAGGUCUAUUGAUUUUUCGUGUAUAAGAAGUUAUAACCAUAAGAAGGAAAGAAAGUGGUCCAAGGGAGAUUAUAUGAACUAAAUCUAUUGUUUCUUUCCUUUCACAGGUCGAUGCGCGAGAUAUCCCUCUGUUAUAUCUCGAGAUGAAGGUGAAGUCCUGAUCUUUCAAGAUUGAAACAUAAACGAAAGAUUUGUCUGUUUUUGAUGUUUCACUAUAUAUUGAUCUCUCAGAUUCAAAACGCUCCUGUGGGGUCACCUCAAAGACAAGAAGCUCAGAAGAAUCUGCUUGAGGAAAUAAAUCACAGGAAACAAAUCGAUCAGAACAUUAUAGAGAUUCUUAGACUUUCACUCAAACAAACCGAUGUCUUAGAUCUCUUAACUUCCACAAGAACAACAGGACAACCUGUUGUAGAUGAUUGGGACUGCUACAAGACUCUGGUAACAACCCCUUAUCAAUUAUUGUUACUUGUGUUCCACUUAAAGACCCUUAAAACAAAUAUAUAUUGAAUAAAACAUCACAGGUUAAAAGUUUCAAGAAUCAAUGUGGAGCAAAGAUGGAAUACGAUAUGAAGUAUGCAGGAGCACUUGCCAAUAUCUGCAAUAUGGGAGUGGAUGUGAAGCAAAGUGUUGCAGCUAUUGAAGAAGCUUGUGCCCAUUAAAUUAUAUGCAAAAAAUAAUAUUGUGAUCGCCUUAUAAAUAUGAAAGUUAUUGCAUAACAUUUGAUUGUGUGGAGAUGGUUGAUGCCUAUUUUACUUGAUAACCCGAAAGUCUUGGUCUUAAAUUGGUUUCAUAGUAUAAUAACCUCGUACCAAUUCUAGUUUCAAGAAUUCACGCGAAAGUCUUGGUCUUAAAUUGGAGAGUGAGUAAGUGAUCAGAUAAGGCUCGGCGGCACUCGAGUCAACAUCUCGUCUUCGCGUGUUAUGCUUUACGGUUAAAAGUUCUACAACCUUGAACCGGACCAGCUGAUUAAAUCUUCAUAUAUACUGGUGAACUGGACAAACCGCCAGUCCCAAAAUAUCGGUUACGACUUUUGCUACAGACCGAAUAACCCAAAGGAUAAACCCUGAAUUUUAAAUUUUUUGUUGCCAUAAAUGUUAUGUAACAUUCAUUUUUGCAGAGAAUGUUCAGUCGAAGCUAGAACUUGAUCCGUACUUCCAUUGAGUGUUUUUUUUUCAUUUUUAAUGGAUUAAAUUAAGAAUGAUUAUGUUAUUUUACUAUUAUAUGGUUUUAUCCACCCAUAUUGUUAUUAAAAAAUUUAGCAAAAUAAAUAAUAAUAUAUCUUAUCGGUCAUUUGAUAAAUUUUGUGAUUGUCAUUUAUCAUUCUACAUAAUUAAAGUAUAAUAUUUUUAUUUUAUAUUUGAAUAAAAAAAAAUAAAUUGUUAUUAUCGUUAAAUAUAAUUAAAUUUAUAUGUAUUUUUUUAUCAACAAAGCUAAAUUAAUUUUAGUCUCUAAUUAUAUUUUAUGAUAACUAUAAUUGAAUUAAUUAAUUUUCUGCAAUAAAAUUUUCAAAGAUUCUGAAAAUCUUUUUCAAAGAGUUCAGCAGAUUUUUUUUUUUUAAAUAUCAAUUUGCAUUUCAAAUAAAAAAUAAAUAUAUUCUAAUUAAAUUAUGCAAAAUUUUAUAUAGAUUCUAAUAAAUAGUCUAAAUAAAAAAAAUCAUAGCGUUCCUUGUCGGUAACCUAUCAGAAAACUCGAUGGCUUCAUAAAAGAAAUCUCGCUGGACACUUAUUUCCUGUGCGACUUCGCUACCCUUGGCAAAUGACACAUGUCAUUUUAUAAUUGGCCAAAUUUUUUUGUCAAUAAAAUAAAAUCACCUACUCCUUAUACUUUAUAUGAUAUUAUAAAUAUUUUUAUAUAUUUUUAUAAAUCUUAAAAUAAAAUAUCUAUCUAAUUCAUUAUUCAUAGCUUAAAUUGAAAUAAUUGAAGUUUAAUAUAAUAGUAUCUUAAGUUUUUAAUUAUUGUAAUAGUACUAAACUACAAAUUUUAUAUUAAGAUUCCAUAUGUUAAAAAGUUUAUAUAAAUUUAUUUUAGUUUAAGAUAAGUUUAUAUUAGUGACAUUCUUAGUGAGUAUCUCACCAAUAAGAUUGCACUAACAGCUCUUACGUUCCACCAAUGCUGACUUAACCAUCCUUCAAGAACACCAUAAUGGUGAGUCACAUCUUCUUCUUCUUUUUUCCAGCCAACACAUCACCUUCAACAACAACCAGAGAAGAGUAAGCUUCAACAAAGUAGCAGCAGAUUGUUUAUUAGACUAGAAGAUGAUUUUAAAUACCAAUGAUGAUCAUGUAGACAAUCAAAACACCAAUGUUGUUAAGAAGAAGAUCUGUUUUGAGGAAAAACCCUUCCAGGGUUGCCAAAAGAGUUACCCAUUAGGCCACCAUAAGAACGACUUUUCCUAAUCUUAGUACACUUAAAGCAAGAUAUCAAUCGAUGCAUCGGUCAAAAAAGCCAUGAAAACUGUGCCACUAAAUGAAGCUCCAUUGAACUCAUCGUAAGCAACUUUGUCUCCUUGAAAUUUAGGCACUAACAGAGCAGCAACUUCGCCAGACGAGGAAGAACUCCUCAUUGAUUUAUAGAAAAAAAGUUGUCAUCAUACAAAUCAAUUUAUAUAUAUCCUAUUUAUCCAAUUAUCUCAAAAAUGAAGCUAGCAAACAAAAGCAAUUAACAUUAAUACGCAAAUUUAAAUACUACAUUGACAUCAGAAGUUAACAUUAUGAGUUACUUUUUGUGGGUUUAAUAUUAUGAGUUACUUUUUGCAUCCAAAGGCUCAAACUUUAAUACGCAAAUGACUCAAAGAAAUUUUCUAUAUAAACGAGUUAUAUACUACCAUAUUCAAGAACAUCAACAGCAAGAGAAAAAAAAAACAGUUCUUUAGAAGUCUUAUUACGACAAUGUCUUUUCUUGGUCAUUUUCAAGUUCUUGUUUUUCUUUAUGCUCUUCUUCUUUUCUUAGCAGAAUCCCGCAAAAUCCAACUAUUUGAUACUGAAUCUAGCGCUGAUGAUGGUGCAGAACACGAAAACUACGGGGAUAAGGUCUAUUGAUUUUUCGUGUAUAAGAAGUUAUAACCAUAAGAAGGAAAGAAAGUGGUCCAAGGGAGAUCAUAUGAACUAAAUAUAUUGUUUCUUUGCUUUCACAGGUCGAUGCGCGAGAUAUCCCUCUGUUAUAUCUUGAGACGAAGGUGAAGUCCUGAUCUUUCAAGAUUGAAACAUUAACGAAAGAUGUGUCUGUUUUUGAUUUUUCACUAUAUAUUGAUCUCUCAGAUUCAAAAAGCUCCUGUGGGGUCACCUCAAAGACAAGAAGCUCAGAAGAAUCUGCUUGAGGAAAUAAAUCACAGGAAACAAAUCGAUCAGAACAUUAUAGAGAUUCUUAGACUUUCACUCAAACAAACCGAUGUCUUAGAUCUCUUAACUUCCACAAGAACAACAGGACAACCUGUUGUAGAUGAUUGGGACUGCUACAAGACUCUGGUUAAAAGUUUCAAGAAUCAAUGUGGAGCAAAGAUGGAAUACGAUAUGAAGUAUGCAGGAGCACUUGCCAAUAUCUGCAAUAUGGGAGUGGAUGUGAAGCAAAGUGUUGCAGCUAUUGAAGAAGCUUGUGCCCAUUAAAUU